UAACUGAAGUGCAGCAUACAAGAGAUUGAC
rnacentral:piRNA from 1 species